rnacentral:misc_RNA from 1 species
GAUGAAGAACGUAGCGAAAUGCGAUAAGUAAUGUGAAUUGCAGAAUUCAGUGAAUCAUCGAAUCUUUGAACGCACAUUGCGCCCUCUGGUAUUCCGGGGGGCAUGCCUGUUCGAGCGUCAUUAUAACCACUCAAGCUCUCGCUUGGUAUUGGGGUUCGCGGUUUCGCGGCCCCUAAAAUCAGUGGCGGUGCCUGUCGGCUCUACGCGUAGUAAUACUCCUCGCGAUUGAGUCCGGUAGGUCUACUUGCCAGCAACCCCUAAUUUUUUUUAAGGUUGACCUCGGAUCAGGUAGGGAUACCCGCUGAACUUACGCAUAUCAAUAAGCGGAGGA